GGGGGGGGGGGGGGGGGGGGGGGGGGGGGGGGGGGGGGGGGGGGGGGGGGGGGGGUUGCUGGGCUGGUGUGAGCGGGGGGGGGGUGAGGAACACGGGGAUGCCCUCCCUAUAAGGCGGGGAUCACUUAGUGAACCCGGAGCUAAUACCGGCUAAUAUUCUGAACCGCAUGGUUCGAAAGUGAAAGACGGUGUUGCUGGCACUUAUAGAUGGAUCCGCGCUGCAUUAGCUAGUGGUUAAGGGAACGGCUUACCACGGCAACGAUGCAUAGCCGACCUGAGAGGGUGAUCGGCCACACUGGAACUGAGACACGGUCCAGACUCCUACGGGAGGCAGCAGUAGGUAAUCUUCCGCAAUGGGCGAAAGCCUGACGGAGCAACGCCGCGUGAGUGAUGAAGGUCUUCGGAUCGUAAAACUCUGUUAUUAGGGAAGAACAUAUGUGUAAGUAACUGUGCACAUCUUGACGGUACCUAAUCAGAAAGCCACGGCUAACUACGUG
rnacentral:rRNA from 1 species